rnacentral:rRNA from 1 species
GAUGAACGCUGGCGGCGUGCCUAAUACAUGCAAGUCGAGCGAACAGACGAGGAGCUUGCUCCUCUGACGUUAGCGGCGGACGGGUGAGUAACACGUGGAUCACCUACCUAUAAUACUGGGAUAACUUCGGGAAACCGGAGCUAAUACCGGAUAAUAUAUUGAACCGCAUGGUUCAAUAGUGAAAGACGGUUUUGCUGUCACUUAUAGCUGGAUCCGCGCCGCAUUAGCUAGUUGGUAAGGUAACGGCUUACCAAGGCAACGAUGCGUAGCCGACCUGAGAGGGUGAUCGGCCACACUGGAACUGAGACACGGUCCAGACUCCUACGGGAGGCAGCAGUAGGGAAUCUUCGGCAAUGGGCGAAAGCCUGACGGAGCAACGCCGCGUGAGUGAUGAAGGUCUUCGGAUCGUAAAACUCUGUUAUUAGGGAAGAACAAAUGUGUAAGUAACUAUGCACGUCUUGACGGUACCUAAUCAGAAAGCCACGGCUAACUACGUG